AUUGAACGCUGGCGGCAGGCUUAACACAUGCAAGUCGAGCGAGCGGCGGACGGGUGAGUAAUGUCUGGGAAACUGCAUGAUGGAGGGGGAUAACUACUGGAAACGGUAGCUAAUACCGCAUACCAUCAGAUGUGCCCAGAUGGGAUUAGCUAGUUGGUGGGGUAAAGGAUCACAAAGGCGACGAUCCCUAGCUGGUCUGAGAGGAUGACCAGCCACACGUGAACUGAGACACGGUCCAGACUCCUACGUGAGGCAGCAGUGGGGAAUAUUGCACAAUGGGCGCAAUCCUGAUGCAGCCAUGCCGCGUGUGUGAAGAAGGCCUUCGGGUUGUAAAGCACUUUCAGCGGGGAGGCGUUACUCGCAGAAGAAGCACCGGCUAACUCCGUGCCAGCAGCCGCGGUAAUAC
rnacentral:rRNA from 1 species